rnacentral:rRNA from 1 species
AUUGAACGCUGGCGGAAUGCUUUACACAUGCAAGUCGAACGGCAGCACGGGGGCAACCCUGGUGGCGAGUGGCGAACGGGUGAGUAAUACAUCGGAACGUGCCCGGUCGUGGGGGAUAACGUAGCGAAAGUUACGCUAAUACCGCAUACGAUCUGAGGAUGAAAGCGGGGGACCUUCGGGCCUCGCGCGAUCGGAGCGGCCGAUGUCAGAUUAGGUAGUUGGUGGGGUAAAGGCCUACCAAGCCGACGAUCUGUAGCUGGUCUGAGAGGACGACCAGCCACACUGGGACUGAGACACGGCCCAGACUCCUACGGGAGGCAGCAGUGGGGAAUUUUGGACAAUGGGCGCAAGCCUGAUCCAGCCAUUCCGCGUGCAGGACGAAGGCCUUCGGGUUGUAAACUGCUUUUGUAUGGAACGAAAAGGCUCUGGCUAAUACCUGGGGCUCAUGACGGUACCGUAAGAAUAAACACCGGCUAACUACGUG